AUUGAACGCUGGCGGCAGGCUUAACACGUGCAAGUCGAGCGGAGAUGAGGUGCUUGCACCUUAUCUUAGCGGCGGACGGGUGAGUAAUGCUUAGGAAUCUGCCUAUUAGUGGGGGACAACAUUCCGAAAGGAAUGCUAAUACCGCCUACGUCCUACGGGAGAAAGCAGGGGAUCUUCGGACCUUGCGCUAAUAGAUGAGCCUAAGUCGGAUUAGCUAGUUGGUGGGGUAAAGGCCUACCAAGGCGACGAUCUGUAGCGGGUCUGAGAGGAUGAUCCGCCACACUGGGACUGAGACACGGCCCAGACUCCUACGGGAGGCAGCAGUGGGGAAUAUUGGACAAUGGGGGGAACCCUGAUCCAGCCAUGCCGCGUGUGUGAAGAAGGCCUUAUGGUUGUAAAGCACUUUAAGCAAGGAGGAGGCUACUGAGACUAAUACUCUUGGAUAGUGGACGUUACUCGCAGAAUAAGCACCGGCUAACUCUGUGCCAGCCGCCGCCGUAAUAC
rnacentral:rRNA from 1 species